rnacentral:rRNA from 1 species
UCUCAGUUCGGAUUGCAGGCUGCAACUCGCCUGUAUGAAGUCGGAAUUGCUAGUAAUCGUGGAUCAGCAUGCCACGGUGAAUACGUUCCCGGGCCUUGUACACACCGCCCGUCACACCAUGAGAGCCGGGAACACCCGAAGUCCGUAGUCUAACCUAUAUGGAGGACGCGGCCGAAGGUGGGUUUGGUAAUUGGGGUGAAGUCGUAACAAGGUAGC